UUAGGGUUCCAUACUUCAUACCUGCUAUCCAAGCACACCACCUCCAUAUCCCAGCAACCACAAUCAUCAAAUCCGUCCACCAAGUCCCACCGCCACUGGAGGCGGUCUUCAUCCGAUUACUCGAUAUGUCAUGAAUUACCUUCGGGCUGCUUGUUCUCGACCGACAUUGAAACAAGUGUUUGACGACGAUGUUAUUUGAAGCUCGACAAGAACAAUGGUAGCUCGUCUUCAAAUUUUGCUUCGAAAGCUUUGAAAGAUAAACUGGAUCUGUUUAAAUCGGGAAGAAGAGAACGAAUGUGAACCUGGACCUGUUUAAUCGGGAUCUGAAUCUGGAUCUGUUUAAUCGGGAUCUGAAUCUGAAUCUGGUGCACCAGAGUUUUUGAAACUGAAUUCAUUUGAAUUGAUUUAUCUUGUGUUUCAAAUCUGGAUCUAAGUUGAACCAUGAACCAACUGAAGAAUAGCCAGUUUGAAACUGUGAAGAUAAGUGGACCAAGCAGCUUUUGGGUUCAAGAAAUCCUGACGCGAGUUGCUGUUCGAUGUGAUUUUUGUUGAGCAAAAUGAUUUCUUCAAUGCCAUUAUUGCAUCAUCAAAUGGGCGACCACUGUCGCUACUGUUGCUGACCCUUGUGACAACUGGACGUAGUUUGGGGUUUAUCGAAUACAAAGGAUGUGGAGUUUGAAAUCUUCUUGUUCUUGAGGAUUUGAAGAUUGUUGAAGAAGAUGAUGAUUUGAUAUGUGAUGUAAGUAGAAAUGGUUGAUGAGGGUUUUGAGAAAUUGAAAGAUUGAAUUUGAAAUGGGGUGAGGUUAUGGACAUGUUAAUGGACAGAUUAUUGAAGGUUUUUGAGUUGUGAGAUUUUUGAGUUUGGGGAUUAAGGUUUUUCAGUUUUUUUGAGGUUUUGUUUGUUUGGUAAUGGCAGUUGAAGUU
rnacentral:lncRNA from 1 species